GGCGGGUUAGCAAAGUGGCUAUGCAGUGGAUUGCAAAUCCAUCUACCUCGGUUCGACUCCGGGACCCGCCUCCA
rnacentral:tRNA from 1 species